rnacentral:piRNA from 1 species
UGGUGGCAAAUGCUUGCAGUCCCAGG